UGUGCAUGGGGGUUUAUUAUAUUGAUCACAUUGCUUUCUGUUGAUUGAUGAUGUGUUUGUGAAUUUCUUUUAAUUUUUUUAGAUAAAGCUGCAGACAUUGAAUUUUCCAGGAAAACAAAAAUAUAAAUGCAUUCGAUUGGACAGCAGAAGAAUGAACCAUGCUCAUGCAUAGAUUUCCAUCAAUCUACUUCUGAAAACAUACACCUCAAUCAUAUACAUCUGGAAAUGAUUACAUUAUGUUGCCACCUCCACCGGAACUGUAUGCAAGGCAGAUAUUUCCAUCAACACACACUGCAAUCAUCCAUUUUCAACCACAAGGAGACGCAAGAGAAAGGCAGAAUACUGUAAAUGUGUAUACAGCGCAUGUAUACAUAUUUUAUACUGUAUGAUUGUUCAGAUAUCCAUAGGAUUUCAGCAAACAACUCACAAAAAUAUAAUGCACAGAAGCAGCAAAACAGAAAAUAUUUAUUAGA